AUCUCAUCCUCUUCUCUCAUGGUUGAAAAAUAUUCUUAAGUUCAAUACAGAGUUUAGUAUAUCACCGGAGCAAAUGAUAGAUGAAUCUUUCAUUUAAAAUCGGUCUUGGAAUCGACUGUGAAUGCAGCUAAUGAGUCAAAGGUUUGAGUGCAUCGAGGUCCAAGGAUGAACAAGGAAGAAAAUCACUGCUCACUGGUAUGUCUUAUGAAUUCUUGUGAUGGGGAGUUAGCUUUGACAGGAUGGGGUACCUUGGACUGUGAUGUUGUAGUAAUCUUUCCUACACUGAAGCAUGUUUUUUCUCUUUGCAUAUAGGUAAGCAUACUAGUUGAUAUUUUCUUUUAAUUAGUGUUCAUUAUCUGAAUGUCAGCUGCCAUUACAGGACGUUAAUUUUCUUCUUAGUGAUUUUGCUUGAACUUUGUUGUUCCUAUAUUCACUGUUGAGAUACAAGUCCUGUUGUCUACUAUGCUCUACAACAGUACAUUUCAAAAUCAUUUUCAACUCUAAGCUGGUUUCUCAUAGCAUAACAAGAACAUGCAGCUAUGAAACAUCUGUUGAUCGACAAACUGCACAAGGAGAUAAGUGUACAUCAAUCCUUACCUUUGUUUAGCUUAUAAUGCUUGUUUUUGAAUGAAAAUUGUACUCAAUUGCAAUGACAUGAUGUAGAUUAUCUUUUAAACUUGAGCUUGAUUUCUAUGAACUAUUAAGUGUCAUUUGAUCUCUUCUUUACGGUUGCAGUACUUCUGAAAUUAGGACUUGCAUUUUAAGAGCAUAAAUAUUUAUCAAUUCCCCAAACUUAUUCAUGUAGUUCAUUGCAGGUACUGCUUUGCUUAAAGUGGGUAGAAGAAUGGUAUACUCAACCUUUGAUAUUCUGAUAUCUAUGGUUGUUAUUCAUGUACACUUCUAGAUAGAGAUUCCUGGAUGAUUAAUGUAGCGAUAUAACUGAUACUAUUGUGUAUGAGGUAUAUAACGUCAUUUAAUUGACAUUUGUAUAGCAGGUCCGUGAUAAGGGUGUAGGGUUAUCUUUUUACAAAGAUGUGUCUACGUACCGUAGAACUGCCACUGCGACUAAGCAUCUUCUGGUUAAAUCUCUGGUGCCGAGACAAUGGUUCCUUCAGGUUUAGAUGAAAAUGUAGUUCCUCCUGUAAAUGACAAUCAGAUGGAGAAUGUGGAGGAGAAACGUCAAAAUGUCUGUAAUGCAGUUUCUAAUCAUGUCACCGAGAAGUGUAAGAUCACUGCGAGUCCAACUGGUACUUCGGAAAUGGAAGUUUCAGAUCUUCGUCUAGAACGUUGGAUGAGGAUAGUGCCUUAUUAUCAGAACACUGACGCUUUUUUCAUUAGUGUUCUUCAGAAAGUAUCCCAUGUUUCAGGUAAGCUCUUCAUUUUAAACCCCAAGGUCAAGACAUGACUACAAUGUGUCGUGUUGAUCUCACCUGGUCGCACGGCUUUCGCUUUUUUCAACAUCUAUUCCACUGCAGAUCUUUGCCUAUGCAGUAUCCCCCCUAAUUACACCGACACCCCCUGGUAGUGGAAACUUGAUGCAUUGAUGAUAAGUAGAUGCUACUCCCACAAUGUUAUGUAACCAAGGUAUGCCUAUCAAAGCAUUAUAAGGAGACUCCACAUCAACAACGCAAAAUGUGAUUUCGGUGGUUAUGGUUUUGAGGGGGAUCCGCAUGGUGACUUCCCCUUUUGGUUUGUUAGCUGACCCACUAAACCCAUAAAUUUUAUAUGUUGAUGGGAUGAGAUCUUCAUCUUUACCGCCCAUGGUCUUGUACGCAUGAUAAAACAGAAUAUCUACUGACCUG